UACGUAGGUGGCAAGCGUUAUCCGGAAUUAUUGGGCGUAAAGAGCGCGCAGGUGGUUGAUUAAGUCUGAUGUGAAAGCCCACGGCUUAACCGUGGAGGGUCAUUGGAAACUGGUCGACUUGAGUGCAGAAGAGGGAAGUGGAAUUCCAUGUGUAGCGGUGAAAUGCGUAGAGAUAUGGAUGAACACCAGUGGCGAAGGCGGCUUCCUGGUCUGUAACUGACACUGAGGCGCGAAAGCGUGGGGAGCAAACAGGAUUAGA
rnacentral:rRNA from 1 species